rnacentral:rRNA from 1 species
UACGUAGGGUGCAAGCGUUAAUCGGAAUUACUGGGCGUAAAGCGUGCGCAGGCGGUUAUGUAAGACAGAUGUGAAAUGCCCGGGCUCAACCUGGGAACUGCAUUUGUGACUGCAUGGCUAGAGUUUGGCAGAGGGGGGUAGAAUUCCACGUGUGAGCAGUGAAAUGCGUAGAUAUGUGGAGGAAUACCGAUGGCGAAGGCAGCCCCCUGGGUCAAGACUGACGCUCAUGCACGAAAGCGUGGGGAGCAAACAGG